rnacentral:rRNA from 1 species
AUUGAACGCUGGCGGCAUGCUUUACACAUGCAAGUCGAACGGUAACAGGCCGCAAGGUGCUGACGAGUGGCGAACGGGUGAGUAAUGCAUCGGAACGUGCCCAGUCGUGGGGGAUAACGCAGCGAAAGCUGCGCUAAUACCGCAUACGAUCUAUGGAUGAAAGCGGGGGACCGAAAGGCCUCGCGCGAUUGGAGCGGCCGAUGUCAGAUUAGGUAGUUGGUGGGGUAAAGGCUCACCAAGCCGACGAUCUGUAGCUGGUCUGAGAGGACGACCAGCCACACUGGGACUGAGGCACGGCCCAGACUCCUACGGGAGGCAGCAGUGGGGAAUUUUGGACAAUGGGCGCAAGCCUGAUCCAGCAAUGCCGCGUGCAGGAAGAAGGCCUUUGGGUUGUAAACUGCUUUUGUACGGAACGAAAAGGCUCUGGUUAAUACCUGGGGCUCAUGACGGUACCGUAAGAAUAAGCACCGGCUAACUACGUGCCAGCCGCCGCCGUAAAAC